rnacentral:rRNA from 1 species
UCCGGCCUACGGGGCGCAGCAGUGGGGAAUAUUGGGCAAUGGGCGCAAGCCUGACCCAGCAACGCCGCGUGAAGGAAGAAGGCUUUCGGGUUGUAAACUUCUUUUCUCAGGGACGAAGCAAGUGACGGUACCUGAGGAAUAAGCCACGGCUAACUACGUGCCAGCAGCCGCGGUAAUACGUAGGUGGCAAGCGUUAUCCGAAUUUACUGGGUGUAAAGGGCGUGUAGGCGGGGACGCAAGUGAGAUGUGAAAACCACGG